UAGUUCAUGUGAAGACCUUCCCUCUUAUCCCAUGACAACUUACUUUGCUUAAGAACCUUUGAUGAGGGAUCUUGUUAAAGGCUUUCUGAAAGUUCAGGUACACUCUAUCCACCGGAUCGCCCUUGGCCACAUGCUUCUUCACCCCUGUGACAUUACGCCCCAUAUUCUUCAUAGAAAUAUUGUUCUAGGAAUAUGGCAUAACUAAGGCUUCUCCGAGGAAGAGGAGGCCCAGAAAGA